rnacentral:rRNA from 1 species
AACGAACGCUGGCGGCAUGCUUAACACAUGCAAGUCGUACGGUAACGCCGUGUCGGGUGUCCCCGGGUGGCGAACGGGGGGGUAACACGUGCUUAACCUCCCCACAACUCUGUGAUAAGGGUGCUAAUCUCGGGCUAUUUCUUCAUAUCUAAUAUUGCUCCAUUGUGGGGGUUCGAGAGCUCCUGGGGUUGGGGGUGAAGGCGCGGCCCAACCGCGUGUUGGUGGGGUAGUGGGCUACAGAGGCGGCUCCGGGUCGCCGGCCAGAGGGGGUGACCGGCCACAUGGGGACUGAGAGACGGACCAGACGCCUACGGGAGGCAGCAGGGGGGAAGAUUGCACAAUGGGCGCAAGCCUGAUGCAGCAACGCCGCGUGCGGGAUGACGGCCUUCGGGUUGUAAACCGCUUUCAGCAGGGACGAAGCUUUUUGUGACGGUACCUGCAGAAGAAGCACCGGCUAACUACGUG